rnacentral:tRNA from 1 species
UGUCUAGUAUGUGAAGUGGUCAAACACAGCAAACUGUAAAUCAGCUGCUAUUUAGCUUCGGGAGUUCGAAUCUCUCCUAGACAA